UUGAUGUGUAGGAUAGGUGGGAGGCUUUGAAGUGUGGACGCCAGUCUGCAUGGAGCCGACCUUGAAAUACCACCCUUUAAUGUUUGAUGUUCUAACGUGGACCCGUUACCCGGGUUGCGGACAGUGUCUGGUGGGUAGUUUGACUGGGGCGGUCUCCUCCUAAAGAGUAACGGAGGAGCACGAAGGUUGGCUAAUCCUGGUCGGACAUCAGGAGGUUAGUGCAAUGGCAUAAGCCAGCUUGACUGCGAGCGUGACGGCGCGAGCAGGUGCGAAAGCAGGUCAUAGUGAUCCGGUGGUUCUGAAUGGAAGGGCCAUCGCUCAACGGAUAAAAGGUACUCCGGGGAUAACAGGCUGAUACCGCCCAAGAGUUCAUAUCGACGGCGGUGUUUGGCACCUCGAUGUCGGCUCAUCACAUCCUGGGGCUGAAGUAGGUCCCAAGGGUAUGGCUGUUCGCCAUUUAAAGUGGUACGCGAGCUGGGUUUAGAACGUCGUGAGACAGUUCGGUCCCUAUCUGCCGUGGGCGCUGGAGAACUGAGGGGGGCUGCUCCUAGUACGAGAGGACCGGAGUGGACGCAUCACUGGUGUUCGGGUUGUCAUGCCAAUGGCACUGCCCGGUAGCUAAAUGCGGAAGAGAUAAGUGCUGAAAGCAUCUAAGCACGAAACUUGCCCCGA
rnacentral:rRNA from 1 species